CCUACGGGCGGCAGCAGUGGGGAAUAUUGCACAAUGGGGGAAACCCUGAUGCAGCGACGCCGCGGGAGUGAAGAAGUAUUUCGGUAUGUAAAGCUCUAUCAGCCGGGACGAAAAUGACAGUACCUGUACAAGAAGCCCCUGCUAACUACGUGCAAGCAGCCGCGGUAAUACGUAGGGGGCAAGCGCUAUCCGGAUUUACUGGGUGUAAAGGGAGCGUAGACGGUUCUGUAAGUCUGGAGUGAAAGCCCUGGGCGCAACCCCGGUACUGCUUUGGAAACUGUGUCACUGGAGGACAGGAGGGGCAGGCGGAAUUCCUGGUGUAGCGGUGAAAUGCGUAGAGAUCAGGAGGAACACCGGCGGCGAAGGCGGCCUGCUGGACUGAAACUGACGUUGAGGCUCGAAAGCGUGGGGAGCAAACAGGAUUAGAUACCCCGGUAGUC
rnacentral:rRNA from 1 species